AUACUUACCUGGAAAGGGAGAUACCAUGAUCAUGAAGGUGGUUUUCCCAGGGCUAGGCUUAUCCAUUGCACUCCAGAUGUGCUGACCCCUGCGAUUUCCCCAAAUGUGGGAAACUCGACUGCAUAAUUUGUGGUAGUGGGGGACUGCAUUCACACUCUCCCCUG
rnacentral:snRNA from 1 species